rnacentral:rRNA from 1 species
GGGUUGCGGACAGUGUCUGGUGGGUAGUUUGACUGGGGCGGUCUCCUCCUAAAGAGUAACGGAGGAGCACGAAGGUUGGCUAAUCCUGGUCGGACAUCAGGAGGUUAGUGCAAUGGCAUAAGCCAGCUUGACUGCGAGCGUGACGGCGCGAGCAGGUGCGAAAGCAGGUCAUAGUGAUCCGGUGGUUCUGAAUGGAAGGGCCAUCGCUCAACGGAUAAAAGGUACUCCGGGGAUAACAGGCUGAUACCGCCCAAGAGUUCAUAUCGACGGCGGUGUUUGGCACCUCGAUGUCGGCUCAUCACAUCCUGGGGCUGAAGUAGGUCCCAAGGGUAUGGCUGUUCGCCAUUUAAAGUGGUACGCGAGCUGGGUUUAGAACGUCGUGAGACAGUUCGGUCCCUAUCUGCCGUGGGCGCUGGAGAACUGAGGGGGGCUGCUCCUAGUACGAGAGGACCGGAGUGGACGCAUCACUGGUGUUCGGGUUGUCAUGCCAAUGGCACUGCCCGGUAGCUAAAUGCGGAAGAGAUAAGUGCUGAAAGCAUCUAAGCACGAAACUUGCCCCGAGAUGAGUUCUCCCUGACUCCUUGAGAGUCCUGAAGGAACGUUGAAGACGACGACGUUGAUAGGCCGGGUGUGUAAGCGCAGCGAUGCGUUGAGCUAACCGGUACUAAUGAACCGUGAGG